rnacentral:rRNA from 1 species
CAAUAGCGUAUAUUAACGUUGUUGCAGUUGAAAAGCUCGUAGUUGAACUUUUGGUAGGAGCGACCUGGCCUUGGGCGCAUGCCCUUGUUUGCCGUGUGUCGUAUCUGGCCAUCCUUUUCCGCUUCGGCGGGAAUCUUUUACUGUGAGUAAACUGGAGUGCUCAAAACAAGACGUUUGUUUGGUACAUUAAAGCAUGGAAUAAUAAGAUAGGACCUGGUUACUAUUUUGUUGGUUUGCAUAGCUAGGUAAUGAUUAACAGGGACAGUUGGGGGUAUUCGUAUUUAAUUGUCAGAGGUGAAAUUCUUGGAUUUAUGAAAGACGAACGACUGCGAAAGCAUUUACCAAGGAUGUUUUCAUUAA